rnacentral:rRNA from 1 species
GAGGGUUUGAUCCUGGCUCAGAUUGAACGCUGGCGGCAGGCCUAACACAUGCAAGUCGAGCGGAUGAAGGGAGCUUGCUCCUGGAUUCAGCGGCGGACGGGUGAGUAAUGCCUAGGAAUCUGCCUGGUAGUGGGGGAUAACGUCCGGAAACGGGCGCUAAUACCGCAUACGUCCUGAGGGAGAAAGUGGGGGAUCUUCGGACCUCACGCUAUCAGAUGAGCCUAGGUCGGAUUAGCUAGUUGGUGGGGUAAAGGCCUACCAAGGCGACGAUCCGUAACUGGUCUGAGAGGAUGAUCAGUCACACUGGAACUGAGACACGGUCCAGACUCCUACGGGAGGCAGCAGUGGGGAAUAUUGGACAAUGGGCGAAAGCCUGAUCCAGCCAUGCCGCGUGUGUGAAGAAGGUCUUCGGAUUGUAAAGCACUUUAAGUUGGGAGGAAGGGCAGUAAGUUAAUACCUUGCUGUUUUGACGUUACCAACAGAAUAAGCACCGGCUAACUUCGUGCCAGCAGCCGCGGUAAUACGAAGGGUGCAAGCGUUAAUCGGAAUUACUGGGCGUAAAGCGCGCGUAGGUGGUUCAGCAAGUUGGAUGUGAAAUCCCCGGGCUCAACCUGGGAACUGCAUCCAAAACUACUGAGCUAGAGUACGGUAGAGGGUGGUGGAAUUUCCUGUGUAGCGGUGAAAUGCGUAGAUAUAGGAAGGAACACCAGUGGCGAAGGCGACCACCUGGACUGAUACUGACACUGAGGU